rnacentral:rRNA from 1 species
UACGAAGGGGGGCUAGCGUUGCUCGGAAUCACUGGGCGUAAAGCGCACGUAGGCGGAUUGUUAAGUCGGGGGUGAAAUCCUGGAGCUCAACUCCAGAGUUGCCUUCGAUACUGGCUUUCUAGAGGCUGGAAGAGGUUAGUGGAAUUCCCAGUGUAGAGGUGAAAUUCGUAGAUAUUGGGAAGAACACCAGUGGCGAAGGCGGCUAACUGGUCCAGAUCUGACGCUGAGGUGCGAAAGCGUGGGGAGCAAACAGG